rnacentral:lncRNA from 1 species
ACCACGCAAGGGAGCAUCAAGAAAACUGGCGCAAGAUGAGAAACUUUGAUGCUUCAUGGCAGUUUCUGCUCAUUUAGGAUGAUUAUUCUAUAAACUUAUCAUUAAUGAAGGAGUUCGCACGUGCGUUCAAAGAGUUCCAGGUAUGUUGCUAUAAGGUUCCAGCUAGUUUCUUACAUUUCAAGUCAUUCCGUUUACUCUAUUCCAUUAGAACAGUCGGUUCAAAUUAAUACACAAAAUUUACAGAAAGAGAAAAAUUGAAUAUGUGUAUUUACAGUGUUCAUUCCUCUCUUGGGAUCCACCGGCUCCACCAUAGACUCUUUUGGCGUAUGUUAAACUCAUCCAUGCUCUCAUUCAGUGUCCUUACAAUCCUUCUCUGCAGUUUAAGGGCUGAAGCAAGAGCGUUUCUCUGAGCACUUCCCUUCCGCAGCGGCUUUAUUUCCUACACAACAAGGAACAG